rnacentral:misc_RNA from 1 species
AACGCACCUUGCGCUCCUUGGUAUUCCGAGGAGCAUGCCUGUUUGAGUGUCAUGAAUUUCUCAACCUGUCUAGCUUUUAUAAAGAUAGACAGGCUUGGAUUUGGAGGUUGCUGGCUUCUCAGAAACCGGCUCUUCUUAAAUAUAUUAGCAGAACCAUUGCUGAUUAUUCUUGGUAUGAUAAUUAUCUAUACCACGGAGAAUCGGUUUCCUUCAUUGGACGGUUUCGCUUCUAACAGGCUUUUCAGACAAUUCUUGACAAUUUUGACCUCAAAUCAGGUAGGACUACCCGCUGAACUUAA